rnacentral:lncRNA from 1 species
AGAGGCUGUAUGCGAGAGGAAUGGAAAUGAGCCUCAGGCCCUGCCGAAGGAGCCCCAUCCCCUUCCCCGCGCGGGGCUGAGGAAUGCUGGCCAGCCGGAAAGGAACCCUCGCUGGGAACGCCGCUCUCGCGCCUCUGAAACCCCAUUGAGAAGAACCCUUUGAUGCAAUUAAAGCGCAUUUCAUUGCAGGCCUGGGAGGAGGGAACGACCGGCAAGCUUUUUUCUGUCUCGGACGUGUGUAUGCACCUUUGUGGGCCGGGUUACUUAGAGACCAGGCGGGAACUUGAGCUCCCUCUCUCGCAGACGUUCUGUAACAUCAGAAAAGCGUACCCAUAAACAGAUUGGUUUUCACCAGGGGUGGAACUCAAUUUGGACACGAUCCAGGCUGACCUGCAGGCCGGGGUUCCUACUUUGAAAGGCUCUUUGGUGCGCCUUACACCCACCUUCCCUGCUGUAAAGGUUUAGGCGGAAAAGAAAUUGCGUUUGCAGGAGGAAGUUGUUUCUGAGGUUACUGCUCAGCAUUUUCCAUUUUCUCAGUGGUGGGGUGGGCCGUGUCGCAUAUCCAGAAGUGAUGUCACAGCCAGACCUGCAAAAUGAUGUAACCUGCAAGUGUUGAAGGACGACGAUGGGACAGCUAUUUUGAUACUCGUAUUAUUUUAUAACAUUUCCCUGCUUUUUCCAUUGAGACAACUGUGUGACCUCAGAAAAUCCACAUAGCCUCUCUGAACUUAGUAUUUUUGUGUGUGUGUUAAAAUGAGUAUCACAAAGCCGGAGAACGAAUGUGAUGAAGUUCUGGGUGCUUGUGGAAUUCUUUCUAAGUUGGAGGUGGACACUUUAUCUACCUGCACAGGUGGAAGAUAUGUGGGUCUGGAACUCCGUGUAUGCCUCCUUGAGAACAUGAACCUUUAAACAACAACAACAACAAUAACAACACGAAGACAAAGUCCUGUCUGCUCUCCCAGGCUAGAGUGCAGCGUGCAAUCGUGCAAUCGCAGCCUACAGUAAGAAGCCAGAAACGUGAAGAGAAGACCUCGCCUUGAUUUGCCAGAUGACCCCUGGCCUUUUUAGUCAAGUUCCUGGAGAAGUUAGGGUGGAGACUUAUUUGUCCUGUGUUUGGGGCAAUAAAAGGGGAGGGGCCGCCUCCUCCAGCCUGUUCUAAAAAGCCAAAAAGCAAGGCUAUUUACUCAGACCUGGGCUACUAAGUGCUGGGGUGGCCCAUGUUGACUUAAAUGAGCCCUUGCAGUUAGGUGGGGCUCUCUGGAGCUGUUAGUCAUGUGAGGUUGCCAGGGCAACUUAAUGUCUUAUGAGUUGGAAUGCUUCAAGAAGUACAAAGAGGAGACUGCAAGAGUGCAUUACAACUUACAGUCAUAUGUUCAAUAACAUGUCAUCUUUCCUAAUGGGGCUUUUAUUUUUAUUUUAUUUUGUGGGAUUGAAAGAUCAGAAGCCGGAAAUUAUCUGGAGAGGAUAAAGAAAAGGAAAAAUUAAAGGAGGGGGCUAUUUCUGUUCCUUAUGUGGGCAGCGAUUAAACAAGGAGAACAUCUGGUCCUGGAGCGGGUCUCUGCAGCACUGCUUUUAAUUACCCCGUCAUUUGGUCUCAUGCUAAAUUAGUGACUGUGGGAGCAGCUUAGAUCUCCAAACUGACAGCCCCGAAGAGCUCAACUCAGCCUGCCACAUAGUCAGAGGGGAAACACGGAGCUUCCGGUUUCAUAUUUAAACCAGGGAUUGACUCAUAAUUGUAGCUGUCAGGAGGGUGAUGGAGACAUUAUGUAAUCUGGUUCUUAUGGCGAUGUGUGUUUAAGGUUUCUGCUCUGUAAAUUCCAGAGGAAAUUUUGUGUCCAUUGAGGGAGAGCUUGCUGGCUGCUCUGUGGUGUGCCCUGCAGGGUAAUUACAGUGCUAUUAAAGGUUCCUAAAUCUGCCUGAAUCCAAACAUGAAUGAAUUUCCCCCUGAAAGGCCCUCCUGUUUUUCCAUAGACUUUUAAAUGUGGAUGAGGUUAGGCGAAAUCUGGCAAACUGCAAAGAGGCAGUAUGCUGGCCCAAUAGGGAAAUGUAAUAAUGGCAAGCCAUUCAGGUCCACAACUAUUUUUUUUCUGGACCACAUAGCUUCCCUUACUAUUUCCCAUCAUUUCCAGUCUCAGAGAUUCUGAAAGCGGACACCAGUUGCUUCUGGAAACAAAGGAUGAAGCUGUGGAUCAUUAGUUCCAUUUUCAUGCUGCUUGUUACUUGCCUCUCAGAGGUUUCAGCACCUCUGUGGACUGGUGUAAGUUUGCAGGGCAGCCAGGGAAGGCUUGAGGCAGAUCCAGUGUUUGCUGCCAUCAAAAAAAAAAAAAAAAAAGAAAAAAAAAAAAAGAAAAAGAAAGUCAGAUGAGGCUGUUUAAUUUUAAACUAAAAAGAAUGUGCUUUUAACUAUUUUGCUUCAGGGAGACUUGUGGUAUGAUGUGAUUGUUCUCUGUACCCAAGUAAUAUAAGUUUUGGCUGCAUGAUAAGAAGGAUUCAUUCAUAGAGAAUAGUGCUGAUAUUAGAAGAAUAACAGUAAAGACAAAAUAGAAUUUUAAAGGGUGAAUGGGAGUUAUGGUGGUGGAGUGAUGAGGACUGAAACCCUCAGACACCCCCUGAUUGCUGAUCUGGCUGACCCAGAGUUCUUGCAUCUGUUUCUGUACUUUUCCUCUCUUUCUUAAAAAAUCCCCAGUCCACCAGUACUUGGAGUGCUAUACUUGGCCUUUUCAUGACAUCGCAGAAGACAAUGGAAUAUAAAAAGUAGUUUUAGUCAAAAUUAAUAGCUACAUGUGUAAAAAUAUGUCAUCAAAAUGCUGGCUAUCAUAGUCAUCAUCAAUCAAUCAAUCAUCAUCAUCUAUAUUGUAAUUGAUUGCAGUUAGGUGGUCUCUGUUGUAAUCUCUAUUUUUCUAGAAAAAUGAACAAUUGGGAGAAUUGGAUAUUUGCCCGUUGGUCUUUGAAACAUGGUACUGGGAGUGAGCAAUGUUCACUUAGCAAGAAGAUGGAAAGAUCAGCACUUGCUUUCCUACCACGCCUUGGAAAUUUUUAUGUAAGGUCAUCCUAUAAGUAGAAUGGCUUGUCUUACUAUGGUGGACCACAUUUGCAUUUUAGCUUUGCUUACCUAGCUCCAGAUAUUCACCUGAUAUGAGAAAGUUAUUUUAAUGAAAAUAAUAUAUUUAAUAUGCUUGUGUAUUUAUACACAUAGAAAUGUAUAUUUAAAGGAACGAUUAAAAAUUACCCUUAUUCUUUCACAACCUCAGGCUGUAAAAUCUUUAUUAGGAAAUAGUGACAGUGUAACAACUUGAUUUAUUUUCUCCCACCAGGCUGAAGUUUUAUAUGAAUAUUAUCCAGUCACUAUAGCUUGGGACCUUAUCAUCUGACUGAUGGAUGAUGCAGGGAUGGAUAAUUUCAUAAGUUGUCUAGCCAGAGUUUAUUCAUUUUUCUAGUCAUUGAAAUGAGAAGACUUGAUAUGACUCCUAUUGAGAUACUUUCAAAGGCAACCAUCCUUGUAAUGGAUUUUCUCUGUCAGAAAAUUAGGUAUUGAUUUGCCUAUUUUUUUUUCCCUGUACUAGAACUUACCGACGGACUAAGGAUUCCUCUUCCAAUUAACCCAUUCAUGCCUGAGGUUGCAAUUUUUGGAAUUUUUGGAAUCAGACCUUGGUGAUGACCUUGAGCAGUAGGAUAUAAAUAAUUCCCACGUGCUUAGCAUUCCAAUAAUGGAACACCAGGCUUAAAUAGGUGAAGGGCCAUUAGCUUAUAGAAAACGAUAAUCGAAGACAACAAAACAGUAUUAUCCUGGGGGCUUAAAGAAAUUAAACUGAGCAUUGGAUGCGGUCAUCAAUAGGACAUUUCCCUUUCUUGUCUUUUCUGACUUCUCUAUCCAACCACAGGCUUUCAUCAUUGAGAAUGAAGUAGCCAGAAGGGAUAAUUACCAGAGAUAAUAACUUAUCUUUGAUUUUAAAACAUUAAGGAAUUUUUAUUAAGAUUUAUUAAUAAAUACAUUUAAUUUAGUUUGAUUAGAAUUAUAGCUUUAGCUUGGCCUAAAACUGCCCCACCUUUCUGGGAUCCUCCCUUCAGUUUUCUGACUCUUGGGCCACAUGUGUAUUUAGUUCUGUGACAAAGAGCCCUGGCUCCUUCAGGCACGAUGCCCACAUCAUCAAGGUUAGAGGCGAUUAUAACUGAUAUGGGUUGCAGUCUGUUCCUGUCCUUGUAAAUUCCGGAUUGUACUUGCUCACUCCUACUUUCUAUCUUAUCUUCUCUUCCUGAAGACCCAUGCUGUGGACUUCAAGCUCCAGCAUCAGGCACAAAGACAACAGCCUUACAAAGACUUUUUAACCAGCCCCCAUUGUGUAAGUUCAAAUCUCCAUAAUAAAUCCACUCCUCCCAAGCAAAACACACACACACACACACACACACACACACACACACACUUCCUAAUGGUUUUGCUUCUCCGAUUGAAUUAAUAUUACUAAUAUUAAUGUUGUUAUGCAGAUAUCAAAGACCUAGGUAGGAUUGUCUCAAGCUCUAUUCAUUCCCUGUAGAAGUCCAAAGUCCUCCCUAAGUUUUCUCCAAAUUCUGUGAAGUCCACAUUUUCACGGUCAUUUUUGGCACAUCUAAUUUGCACAAAAGACCCUACAAAGCACUUGUGAGUAUAAUGUAUUUAUUAAAACUUUUGGUGGCAUGAGGAGACAGAAGUGCAGUUCAUGUUGAAACAAAAAUAAUUUCAAAUUUAACUUGACUCAUCUUUAUUUGUAAAAUGUUUCUCCACUAUCCCAUCCUUAGCGAAUAGAUACCCUUCCCUCAUCCUAUAAAAUCCCCAGCUUCACAACAGCUCCUCGGUGCCUCUCUCCUUCCCCUUUUUCUCUUCUGCUUUCUGUUUCUCCCAAUACUCCCAUCCUCUUGUUUUCAAGUGCAGAGAAGCUUAACUAUCUCUCUUUUCUUUUAUGCUAAGAUUAUUGUGGAUGUACGUCCAUGUCCUCAGGAUCUAACCUUCUAUUCCCGAUGGCUAUUGUUCCAAGUCAAAUACUGUUGCAAUAGUUAAGAAAACAAAAAUGUUGCCUGGUUACAAUGGUAACAGGAGCAGGAAGCAUACAUUUAGUGCUUACUAUGAUCCAAACUCCAAGGGCUCUUUAUGUCUUGUCUCGUGAGAUUCCUACAAAAAUUCAGUGAAGCCUGGCAUUAUGAGUCCCAUUUUAACAAUCUUGAAAUUAGAUCAUAGAAAGUAAAAAAAACACAAAAGCAACUACAAAACCUAAUAUUUAUUGAGUUCUUAUACAUCAGGCACUGUUUUAAGCACUAAAUGUGUUUUGUUUUUAAAUUGACUCUUCACAACUCUACUAGUUAAAAAAAUUAUCCCCAUUUUACAGAUAAAGAAACUGAGACACAAAAUUAGGCAAUUUUCUCACAAUAAAUAAAAAGUGGUACUGUGUAUGGAAACCAGGCUGCUUGAAUCUGGAACUCAGAAUACCGUCUGACAAGGUAAGAAGGUGUUUAAAUGUUUCUCAUGUAGUCAGUUUCCUAACUCAACUUCAUGACACCUUUCCUGGCUGACCGAAUAUUUCAACCAUCCUUACGUUUUAUAUUUUUCAUCGCUGUUUAAUUUUUUCUCCAUGGUACUUAAUACUGACACAUAUUUUACUUAUUUAUUUUUUUUAAAUUUUCUGUCCCCACUACCAGGAUGUAAACUCCGUGAGGGCAGGGACAUUUCUGUCUGUUUUACUCACGAUUGCAUCUCCAGGGCUGAUAGGAAUGCCUUUCACAUAGUAGAUGCUCAAUAAGUAGUUACUGAAUGAAUCAAUAAAUGAAUAUAUGCAUGUAUGAAAAGCUGCUUACACAGAGGACAGGGCCUUCUUAUUAGGUUUUGCAGAUACGUCAGGAAAACCCCCUUUGAAUGGAGUUUGAAAAAGCUCUAAAUUGGUGGGCUUUAAAUGUGAUCAAACUCAUGUUGGGAGACCUUCAAAUACUGUGCUCAUUUUCAGGCCACCUCAUGUUCCCGUCUCUUCUCUGCCUCCCCUAGGUGUAUGUGUUUAAAUCUCUCCAUCCUGGUUUAACAGCCUUCUCUGUGGGCCUAUUCUCUAGAAAAUUCUUUGACUUGCCAGUUUACUUUUCCCAUUUAUAAGAUGGAGAUAAUUUUACUUCUAACAACUUCAGCAGGAUUUGGAAGAGAUCAUUGAGAUGAUAGGAAACCAAACAAAGUAUUGAAUCUUGGGAAGACUCUGGCUAUAGAAACAUAAAUGAAAAUUAAGAUAAAAUCCUUUUAAAAAAUUAUUGUUAGAAAUUACCUAGCAUGUAAAUUUAGAAUUUUUUUGUGUUUGUUUAAUGAGGAAGUUACUUUUUCAGUUUGAUUUUCUAUUUAGGUUGGUAAAAUGUAUUAAAAUUGUAUCAUGAAUUAACAGCAAAGAUAAUAUCUACUUAUUAAUUCAACAAACAUUAUCAAACAUUUUUUAUGCCAGACACCAUUUUAGUAUUAAAACAGCAAAAAUGUCAGUGAGAAAAACAGAACCCUGGAUUCUUGUAUCAUUCACAGAGAGAUGUUUUUUAGAGAUUGGUUAUUGUAUUAGCUUGUUAGGGUUGCCAUAACAAAGUACCACAGACUGGGUGCCUUAAACAACAAAAACUUAGUUUCUCACAAUUUUAAAGGCCAGCCAUCUGAGAUCAAGUUGUCAUCAGGGUUGGUUUCUCCCGAGGCUUCUCUCUUAGGCUUGUAGGCGGCCAUCUUCUUUUUCUGUCUUAAUGUGAUCUUUCCUCUGGGCCCAUCUAUGUCCAGAUUUCCUCUUCUUAUAAGGAUAUCAGUCGUUGAAUUAGAGCCUCACCUCAAUGACUUUGUUUUAACUUCAUCGCCUCUUUAAAGCCCUAUCUCCGAAUACGGUCACAUUCUGAGGUACUGGACAUUAGGGCUUCAAUAUAUGAAUUUUUGUGAGGACACAGUUUAGCCCAUAGCACUUCUUGUAUUGCCAAACUUUUUGGGUUUCAUUUUACUUGUUUAAAAUAACAGUGGUGCUUUCUAUACAUACCUGUUAUUAACACAUCACUUAGUGGUUUUCUUUCUUUAUGAGUAUUGCAACCAGGUGGAAAUAAACCUAGCUUUGGGAGUGACAGUAAUAUUAUCAGAGGUCCUAGAUGGACCAGACUUUGAUCAGCAUUACACAAACCCACCUAAAUGGACAAGGGAACUGUUUUCUAAGAUUUAAGCUUUUUGGAAAAUGAGUAUUGUACAGCUGAGCAUUUCUUAAAGGGACUACUAUAAUUAUUGGACCAUACUAAACUUUUGACUAGAUGGAAUUCAAAGUUAAUUUUCCUCUGGCCAACCAAUGUGUAGAAACUCGGAAGACAAGUUACAGGCAAAAUAGAGGAGUUAGAUCCCAGCACCAUCAUUAUUGUUGUCAACAUCAUUUUUACCAUGUCACAGUGGGUGCUUUUACUGUCUUUUCCUCUCCUUGUUCUACUUUCUUCCCAACAAGUUUGUGAGCUGCUUGUGGGUAGGAAGUAGUUUAAGACUGUUGUCCAUGUCCAUUUAUGCUUUGCAUGAUGCUGGGCACAGAGCCGGGGCUUGGUAAGCACUCAUUGACCAACUGCAAGCUGUUUGCUGAGCCUGACAGUCAGAGGAAUGGUGGUGGAAGAAGGAUAGUAGGGAAGGGCAUAGUUGACUGGCAUGGCACAGCGAAGAGUGAAUCCGUAGGUGGUUAUGGCACUCUUGGCCUUGAUCCAGCUAUUGAUGGAUGUCACUAUGGAGUUCUGAUGAGAAGAAAGAGAUGAUUUUGUAGCUGCAUGAAAAAUGAGCUUCAGAGCAGGAUUUCUCCAGUUUUAUGAAAUACAGACUUGUCAUGAUCUGCAAAGGAUGUGAAUUAUUAGUUUCUCCUCAGCUUUAAUCCACACAUCACCAUAGAAAACGCAAAUGGUGGCGAGUGGGUAGGGAGAGAAGUGGGAUCAAAACCGAGUUUCCACUUAUUUCCUCUGACAAUGGUUAUAGUAAAACAUUCUGACUAGGAAAAGAUUAAUCUCCGUUUGCAAAAUUAAAAAGAAAACAAAAAACAUGUGGAAAAUAUUAUGUUGAUGCAUGUUUUGCUGAACAGAUGGUGACGGUCCACAAACUUCUCAAGGAUUUCCCUUCGAGGAUGAAAGGAGAGCAUUUUAAUUUGGCUGAGUAACCUAGAGUCACUGAAUCUGUUAUGAUCUUGUCUGUCUCUUCUUACGGAAAUCCUUUUUAUUGCCAAAUUAUGGAUUUUUCUUCCAAUAAUUUUUAACAAAUUACUUUAAUCUGGAAUACCCAAUUAGCACACAAAUGUGAUGUUUCUUUUUCUGCUAGUUUAGUGUUUUUCUACAGGGAACACCUUAUCUUUGUAUUUUUACAUAUUUAUGAUUCUCAUUUUGAGUCCCUGAAAGCACAUCAGCUAUAAUGUGGACUGGCCACUUAUUCAAAUAUUUGUUUUACAGCUGGGGAAACCGAGGGCUGGAGGCUUCUGUGACCCUCCUCAACAUUUCACAAUGAGUCACAGCUGAAGAAACAUUAGAAAUGGAUUUCUUGACUCUGAAGUCAUUGACCUUUCACUAGCCUUUUUAGAAACUGUGAUUCUUGAUGUACUUGAACCUAUUUACUUGUGUAUUUUCUUUUUUUGUGCUCUCUCUCCUUUUUGAAGAGUCUAAAGAAGACAUAGGGAAGAGAUUUUCCUGUAGAGAUCCCCCUGAUUGCUGGUUUCCUUUGAAAUGAAACCACAGCUUUUCAAGUAGAACUUCGCAGAGGUUUAUAAGAGGAGUCUGCUACACAGCUGGAGGAGGAAGAGGAAUGAUUGGUUAUUAAUUUAGCACUGUCCUUAUGUCAUCAGUCAUUUCUUCUAUCGGGACAUUUUCUUCACUAGAAAAGAAAAAAAACGUUAAAAUUAAGGACAGCAAGCAGCGGCUGUUUACCAUUGAUUGAGGUUUGGAGACAGG